rnacentral:rRNA from 1 species
AACGAACGCUGGCGGCAUGCCUAACACAUGCAAGUCGAACGAGACCUUCGGGUCUAGUGGCGCACGGGUGCGUAACGCGUGGGAACCUGCCCUUAGGUUCGGAAUAACUCCCCGAAAGGGGUGCUAAUACCGGAUAAUGUCUUCGGACCAAAGAUUUAUCGCCUUUGGAUGGGCCCGCGUUGGAUUAGCUAGUUGGUAGGGUAAAAGCCUACCAAGGCGACGAUCCAUAGCUGGUCUGAGAGGAUGAUCAGCCACACUGGGACUGAGACACGGCCCAGACUCCUACGGGAGGCAGCAGUGGGGAAUAUUGGACAAUGGGCGAAAGCCUGAUCCAGCAAUGCCGCGUGAGUGAUGAAGGCCUUAGGGUUGUAAAGCGCUUUUACCCGGGAUGAUAAUGACAGUACCGGGAGAAUAAGCUCCGGCUAGCUCCGUG